rnacentral:lncRNA from 1 species
AUAAAUUAUUUGAGAAAGAAUUAUAUUUGUGUUUUAUCAUUUUACUUUUUAAGUUUAAAAAAACAUGAAUUUUAAAAUGAAAAGAAAAAUUUAUCAUUGGGUUAGAAUGGUUGAUUGAAGGGUUGAUUUCUUAAACCGAAAUAAACCUAACCUGACUUUAUAAUGGUUAAAAUUAACCCAACUAAACUGAUUUUUGGGUUCAAGUCAACCCGACUUUAUUUGGUUCAAUAGGUUUUUUUGAUUUUUUUUGCCCACCUCUAGAUGUAGAUAUGUCAAAUGAACCAGUCAUAUGAUAGAUCUCGUACGAAAGAUCUUUUGGAUGAGGUGAAGCUAUAAGAGACACCUUGUGGAGUAAAGACUUAUCGCUUCGAAAACCAUUUUCUAUUAGUAAAUGUGUCCUUAUUCCUCAUUUGAAGGCUCCUUGUAAGGCUUGCUGGAAAAAUUGUUGUCGGACUUGAUUAAUCGCCCUUUGCUGUUCGAAAUGUUAUACACAAUUGGAUUUUUUUUUUUUUUUUUUUUUUUUGUGACAAGACCCAUCUCGAAUCACUCUAGUGGACCUGAAACGUGAUAUGUGUCGAUAAUAGAUGUUAACUAAAUGCCAGAUCUAUCACCAAGGCUAAUCAUGAGCUGCCACAAAAUAUUGAAUAAAAUCAAACGUUUAUGUAAAAUAUAAUGCAAUGAGCCCAAAAUAAUUACUUCAAAUUUUACCAAAAUGAAUCAUAUCACUCAAUAUGUCAUGUGGCUCUAAUUCUAAAACCACCAGGCUCUUCAAACUAUCAAGGACCAAUAAUACCUGUAAGAAAAAUUGUGAAAAAAUAUAAGUUUAUAGCUCAAUAGGUAGAAGAGUUCGAAAAUAAUUAUACUUUUUCAUUUAAACAUUUUUUUCAUGCAUAGAUAUCAAGUUCAUAUCGUUUAGUAAUUCACAUGAUAGCCUCAUACAAUUAUAGCAAAAUUUGAGAUAUUCUCAUAACACUGUAAAUAUCAUCACAUAUUCAUGAUAUAGUCAUCA